AACGAACGCUGGCGGCAGGCCUAACACAUGCAAGUCGAGCGGACCCUUCGGGGUUAGCGGCGGACGGGUGAGUAACGCGUGGGAAUAUGCCCUUCUCUACGGAAUAGUCCUGGGAAACUGGGGGUAAUACCGCAUACGCCCUUUGGGGGAAAGAUUUAUCGGGGAAGGAUUAGCCCGCGUUGGAUUAGGUAGUUGGUGGGGUAAUGGCCUACCAAGCCGACGAUCCAUAGCUGGUUUGAGAGGAUGAUCAGCCACACUGGGACUGAGACACGGCCCAGACUCCUACGGGAGGCAGCAGUGGGGAAUCUUAGACAAUGGGGGCAACCCUGAUCUAGCCAUGCCGCGUGAGUGAUGAAGGCCUUAGGGUUGUAAAGCUCUUUCAGCUGGGAAGAUAAUGACGGUACCAGCAGAAGAAGCCCCGGCUAACUCCGUG
rnacentral:rRNA from 1 species